rnacentral:rRNA from 1 species
UACAGAGGGUGCAAGCGUUGUUCGGAAUUAUUGGGCGUAAAGCGCGUGUAGGCGGCUUUGCAAGUCGGGUGUGAAAGCCCUCAGCUCAACUGAGGAAGUGCGCCCGAAACUGCAGAGCUUGAGUACCGGAGAGGGUGGCGGAAUUCCCCAAGUAGAGGUGAAAUUCGUAGAUAUGGGGAGGAACACCGGUGGCGAAGGCGGCCACCUGGACGGUCACUGACGCUGAGACGCGAAAGCGUGGGGAGCGAACAGG